UGACGCCUGUUCCUCCCUCUGCCCGAAGUCAGGCAGUAUGGAUUUUAGAGCGUCACAGAAUCAACAGGGUCUCUUUCACCCAGUGGACACAAGGCAGCAGGGCUGUCAGUUGUCCCACUGGACUUUGCGGGACCCUACACGU